rnacentral:lncRNA from 1 species
GGAAACCAGCCCAUAAAUAAUAAAGCGUUAAUGUUACGUUAGAAGCAGUAUGAAAACAAACAUUUCAUAGACUACCUAUUUCGAUUAAAAGUUUGUGUUAUCAUUUACUUUCUAGUUUAAAGGUUACCAACAGUUGGAGCUGAGUGGUGGAAUAAAGGUUACCAACAAUUGAAGCUGAGUGGUGGAAUAAAGUUUUAGGAGG